GAUGAACGCUGGCGGCGUGCCUAAUACAUGCAAGUCGAGCGAACAGACGAGGAGCUUGCUCCUUUGACGUUAGCGGCGGACGGGUGAGUAACACGUGGAUAACCUACCUAUAAGACUGGGAUGACUUCGGGAAACCGGAGCUAAUACCGGAUAACAUGUUGAACCGCAUGGUUCAACAGUGAAAGACGGUCUUGCUGUCACUUAUAGAUGGAUCCGCGCCGCAUUAGCUAGUUGGUAAGGUAACGGCUUACCAAGGCAACGAUGCGUAGCCGACCUGAGAGGGUGAUCGGCCACACUGGAACUGAGACACAGUCCAGACUCCUACGGGAGGCAGCAGUAGGGAAUCUUCCGCAAUGGGCGAAAGCCUGACGGAGCAACGCCGCGUGAGUGAAGAAGGUCUUCGGAUCGUAAAACUCUGUUAUUAGGGAAGAACAAAUGUGUAAGUAACUAUGCACGUCUUGACGGUACCUAAUCAGAAAGCCACGGCUAACUACGUG
rnacentral:rRNA from 1 species